CGCGGACAUGCUCUCAGUUCAUUGCAUAUUAUUUGUAUUGCACUUCGGUUUUUUGCAAACGGGAGCUUUCUGUAUAAUAUUGGUGACGCUGAGCACGUUUCCAAGGCUACCGUCUGUCGGGCAGUCAGGAAUGUUACAGUUGCACUGAAACAUCUCCUGCACUCGUCUGUGGUGUUCCCCGGUCAUAGACCCACAAGAUUUAUCAAAGAGGGAUGCCACAAAAUUGCAGGUAUCAGGAUGACCAAAACGUAAUGUAUGAUGUGGUGAUACCUGGACUACUACUUAAAUUCUACAUUUAUUUUCAGGGUUCCCAGGCGUGUAUAGAUGGCACUCACAUUCCAAUCAUUGCUCCUUCAGUAAAUGAAGGAGACUAUGUGAACAGGAAGUCUUUCCACAGCAUUAAUGUACAGAUCAUAUGUGAUGCUGCCAACAUUAUCACAAAUGUGGAAGCCAAGCGGCCAGGCUCUGUCCAUGACUCACAAAUAUUCCGUGAAUGUACACUGAGCACAAAAUUUGGACAUGGACAAGAGCCAGAGUUGAAAUGACUAUCGGAAUGCUUAAGGCCCGGUUCCAGUGCCUGCAAAGACUCAGGGUCACCCCAGAAAGGGCAUGUGACAUUAUUGUGGC
ensembl:lncRNA